GCUUGUUCUUGCCUUCUCGGGACUGGAAGCAUCGCGGUACCAAGUCCCUAACUUGAAGUUCCCAUGGCCGAACAUGUUCUUCCAGAUACAAAACAUCUUGUUGGCGCAUGAGUUCUUGAUCUUCUUCUUCGUAGGUGCGUACCCUCGGGCUCACUAGGGUUAGCUCCAAGGGGAGGACUGCUUCUGCCCUGUAGACCAGGAAGAAAGAAGUUUCUCCCAUGACCCUAUUGGGG
rnacentral:lncRNA from 1 species